GACGAACGCUGGCGGCGCGCUUAACACAUGCAAGUCGAACGAUGAAGUUCCUUCGGGAAUGGAUUAGUGGCGAACGGGUGAGGAACACGUGAGAAACCUGCCUUUCAUUUUGGGAUAACUCCGGGAAACCGGGGCUAAAACCGAAUACUCCGUCUCGGCGGCAUCGCUGAGCCGGGAAAAAAUUUUGAUGAAAGAUGGUCUCGCGGCCUAUCAGCUAGUUGGUGAGGUAAUGGCUCACCAAGGCAACGACGGGUAGCCGGCCUGAGAGGGCGACCGGCCACACUGGGACUGAGACACGGCCCAGACUCCUACGGGAGGCAGCAGUGGGGAAUAUUGGGCAAUGGGCGCAAGCCUGACCCAGCGACGCCGCGUGAGGGAUGAAGGCCUUCGGGUUGUAAACCUCUUUCAGUAGGGAAGAAGCGAAAGUGACGGUACCUAAAGAAGAAGCACCGGCUAACUACGUGCCAGCAGCCGCGGUAAGAC
rnacentral:rRNA from 1 species